rnacentral:sRNA from 1 species
UUAGUUUUGUUGCUACUUCAUAACUGCAACGUUGCUGUUAUGAAUUAUAAUGUAAACAUCUGUGCUUUCUUUCGGAUGGCCUUAAGUGGCCUGUGACACACAGGCUGAGAAUCGCUGAUCUAGAAAAACACUUUUUCCCCUGGGUUCUAUGGGUUUGAAGGUAACUUCAAGAAAACGUUGAGUAAGUAUUCAAGGCAAAGGUCUCGCAGAGGGGUGUCAUGUACACACUAUAUGACACAGUAUACACAUUUCCUUCCUUAUUCAUGCCUAAAGCCCAACUUUUAUAUAGGGCAGAAAUGUGCUCAAAUGAAGGCACUUACAUACCCAGCCAUGGAGGGGUUAUUCCACCCCACCCAGGAGAUGGGACAGUCUACAGAGUCAUCCAUAGGAAGGGUCUGCGAAUCCACACAAAGGUAUCACACUUGACUGCCUUCUUUUGUCUGCCUCAGGUUGAGGCCAAGAUGACAUUAAUCACACACAUGGAAGUUUGUAGAACAAAAAGAAAGAAGGAAUAUGGGUCUCUGACCACAAUGAAGAUACCACAUUUGUCCCAGAAUCCUCGCCUCUGCGUUUCUUGUUAACCAAGAAAAACAAGCAGCUAAAUGACAUCAGCAGACAAACAUAUGCUCUUUCUCCCAAGACAAUUUACCUGAAGUGACAACAGGAUAAGUAGCUUUUGUCACAUUUAAGAGACUUGUCAUUAUACAGUCAAAUCUCAAAGUAUUUAUUUUCCUAAUCAGAACUCACAUACACAAAAGUAAGGCAGAGAGAAACACUAGGAACAGACAGCAAUCCAAAUGAGAUGCAUCGCAAGGGUGCAGAGUGGGACAGCACACAGCUGGGCAGGGAUGCUACAAUCUUUCACCCCAGGGAAAAAAAUCAGAGCUUCGACUUUCUGAUUUGUAGACUCACACUUUGUUCUUUACUUUUUGAUACAUCUGAGAUUAACAAAAGCCUGAUACAAUGCUUUAAGAAAACAGAACAGCUAUAGACCCCGUAGUUUACUUAUUCUGCCCUCAGUUUACUACUGCCAAUCUCAAGUCCAAGUCAGAAAGAUCAUACUACACCUUUGACAACCAUGUACAAAUGAAAGGGAUGGUACCAAAAAUAAGCGAAAAGUACAACCAACCAAAACAAAACAAAACAAAACAACAAAACAAACAAAACCUAAACCAGUCAGGUAAGGUACAGCUCAUGCCUCAGGUGGCAGAGGCAGGAGGACUGAGUUUGAGGCUAACCAGGGCUACAGAGUGAGACCCUGUCUAAAAUAGACUUAAAAAUCCAUGACAAAAACCCAAACACAAAGCUGUUUCUUCUUGCCCACAUUCGCUUCCAAGUUAGCAGCUUUAUAACAUUUUAAAAGCAUGUUUUCCUUAACACUUUAUACUUAUUCCUUAAUUAAAACCUGCACAAUUACAAGUUAAAAAAAGAAAAACUCCCAGUCUUUCCAUAAUUCAACCACUUUUAUUUUGCUGUUGAAUUUCCUGACCAGUUUUCCAACCCUGAAUAUGAGUCAAGGCGCUGUCAUUUUCUCAUAAGUAGGAGGAGGAACCAGCCCCCCACCGUCUCUGGAGCACUGUGGAAAGUUCCUAGAGUUCUUCUAUGGCCACAGAAGGGGUUGUCUCCUCAGUGUGGAUUCCUUUUCUCGCUUUCAAACUCCUCCAGCCAGGACAUCUGCUUCUAUGGUUUCCCAAUUCUACCGUCAGGGAGCAUUAAGACACAGCCCUUGAACUGUGCUGUCCACAACUGUUAAGCUGAGCUCUCUUCAAGUCUGGGGAACUCAACAGGCUGUUAUGGAGCAGCAACAAGGAGGGUGCUUUGAGAGGGAGAGAGAGCUCGACACCCUGUAGUCCUAUGAGGCUCUUCUCUACCUUCAGCAAGACCUGCUUUCUAAGAAGAAACCAAGUUUUCAUUACUGCACUUCUUUCUUAAGCUGUUGUUUCCACCACUGCCAUUUCUUAAGCUCUGGUGUUAAAGGGAACCUUGGCACUGCUGCUGUUGCUGCUGAAGGACUGGAGCCCUUCCCCCACGGAGUCCCUCUUUCUUGACUCUAAACACAAUUCUCUGUGACUAGCAGGCUUAUCAGGGACCUUCCACUCUAUAGAGGGACACGUGGCAUGCUUAGCCAAGACAGGAGAAUGUGCACGUGUACGAGUCAGUGAGCCAAAUUCUGGCUAUAAGUCUAGCUCUAGUGUUUAAGUGCCUUUAGACUUUAAGGCAAAUGUUUUGAUGCUCUAUCGUUUACUUGCGUCUAUUUUUGAACUGAUUCCAUCUAGGCAUGGGGGCAGGAUAUGAUUUACUGGGCAAACGAGAUAAAGUAAGUAGCAGAUGAUAUUCAAUAAUGAUGUCUUAUGAAGAUCUAAAUUUAAAAAUAUCUCUAGCCAGGCGUGGUGGCACAGAAAUCAAAAGGUGGAGCAGGAAGAUCUGAGUCCCACUCAGAUCUAAGCUAUGGAGUAUGAGUUUUGACUCCCAAAACCAAAACCAAAACCAAGAUACAAACCACCUUAAACACCUCUCCCUCUCCAGAAAAGAAUCAGAGGGUUGAAUGGAUGCACAGUAACAGUGAAAAACUCUAAAAGGAAACAGGAUUAUUUUGUGAUGCUUGACUGGUUUUCCAGUGUUCCCCAGGCCACAGACAUGCCUUGAAGGUGUGCUUGGCACUACAGAAAAUUAUGAGAAGUGGGUCCUAACCGAAGAGGAUUAGGUUGACGUAGAGAUGUCUUUCAAGAGGAUACUGGAACCAGCUAUUGAUUCUCUGCUUCCUAGCUUGUUCCAUAAUUGAACAGGCUACUCUGCCACGAGCCUGACACCAUGAUGUGUUGCCCUGCUGCAGGUCUGAAGGUAAGAGGCGUGCAACCUCUGAAAUGGCAAAGUCACAAUAAAUUCUUUGAGAUAACCACCUUGUAUUUGCUCAGCACCAAAACUCCCUGACUCAGUCUCAGGUGUACUUUGGUAGAGCCCACUCUUUCUACAAUCAUGCUUGCUUUACCUUUAAGGUCCUACAGGGAUCCACCAGAAAUUAGUUAAAAAAUAUAGUUUAUCCUUGCAAAAACAACUUUGGAUUGGUCAAAAUAUUGCCAUAUCAUUUGAGACCUCAGUGAAAUCCCAUUUUCUUUCAAAUGAAAUGAGCUGUCUGCUAAAAUUUCACAACAGAAGUUAAAAUCUAGUUCAAAAUGAACUCUCUUUUCCAUGGUUUGAUGUUCGUAUCAGGCAGUAUAAGUUGUAUGUGCCUUAACCCAUUCCUAGAUAAAUGCUUAUGACUAAAUCUAUUUUCCAAAGACAAUAGAUGAUUCAUUUAUUAAAAAUAUUGGCAUGUGCAAAUAAAUACAUGCAAAGAAAAUGUCCUGAACAAGAAUAGUUCUUGGGAAAGAUCUAAUAGAUCUUCCUUUUUGAUUAGUGUUAGCAUCUCAGUUUAGCCAUCUUCCCAGAUGAUUUAGCUAAAGUCUUGGCAAUCACAGGGUGGUCUGAGUGUCCGAGUCUCAGCUUUCCCCUCCUUUGUAUAUAAGUGCCCAUGUGCAGGGGAAAUGUCACAAGGAAGGAAGUGUGUUCGUGUAUGUGUUCAUCUCUGUAGAUUACAACUUGAAUUGCACCUUUAAGAUUCAUAUUGUCUUUUUAAUACACCAAUUACUUCCCAAUAAUUAUCAAUAUAAUUCCUUGUCUUUAAACUACCCUAUACUUUAAUGAAACUUGAAUAAUAACCAAUAAAAGUGGAUCAGAAACAGAGAAGCUAGUCUGAAGAUCAAGAGCCAAAAACCUUAGAAUUCUGACCAUGACUUGGGCAGUCUUACUGACUCCUCACUCAUUACACUUUGUGAUGUUCUUGCAUGCAAGCUGCCACCUAGGACCAUCUGCAGUAUUGGUCUUCUGGGUCUCUUCAUCCAGGCUGAUAGCCAGAGGAAGCUCACAAACUGAUAGCACCCUGAAUAAGUUCACACUACUUCACAACUUCUGCAUGACUUCACUAAUAUUCUUAUCUUUUGCACGUCCCUGGCAGUACAUAUUAACAGUAGCCAUUCCAAAGUGUCUCCUCUCUUCACAGAUCUAACUCUGGGCAGUUCAACUCACUUCCUUUGGUUGCUGUACAUGAAAUCAGUCCUCUUAGAUGACUUCACCUCUCCAUUAGGUAACAGUCCAGACAAAAUCUUCUGCACACAAAAGCAACUUCACAGACUAGCCAAUAAGCCAAGUUUUCAGUGUUGAAAAAGGACCUGAGAUAUACCUCACGGGGAUAAGAAAGCAAGACUAACAGACUUUAGUGAGUGAGCCAGAAGUCAGCCGUAGCAGAUGGAACUCAACAAACAAGCCGACAGCAUCGAGAUACAGCUCUGGAGCUCCUGAAGACGAGUGGCAGAAAGGCAGUUCUGAGACUAAAAACACUGCUAUCUUCUGGUGAUGAGAAGCAAGAGUGGUGGUCCUGGAGGACGAGUCAUCACAUCUGGUCUCACUCCCUCGCUGUUCAGACCCAAGACCUGGUUCAGCUGUGACUUGAUCACCUGGAUGUCAGCACUACGGAUGCCAUUUGAGAGGCACUUGAGUGCUCCAGCAUCAUUCCCUGAACCACUCAUCACUCAGAACUGUCCCACUCCGUAUUGACCUGUCCAGACAUCAGUAUGGACUGGACUGUCCAGACUGAAUGUCCUAGUCAUCAAGACAGGAUCCACAUCUUCCUCUAGCUCCCAUGUGCUUUCUUCAUACGGCAGAGAGCACCAUUUUACCAG